AGCGACUCCUUUUGAAUCGCUCUCGCGGUUCUUGAAUCUCAAUCUCGUUCUGGAGUAGAAUCGGUUGCAACGGUUUUCGGAUCACCAGUACACAACCGAGAACCGCUUCUUUCGGACGUGUCCGAUUUGAGAACCGAUGAGCUGAUGAUAUUGCGCAUGCGUGAUUCAGUGUGUGAUCUGAAGCUACAGAACAGUAAUGACUGUGACAGCACCAUCGUCUGAUCCGUUUAAACAAUAAGAUUGUAUAUUAUCAGUACAUCUGAAUCAAAAUAACUUGUACAUUAAAGCCUGCUUGUGUAGAUUAUUCAUCAUUAAAUUAGAUUAGUGAUGUUAUCAGAUUACAGAUUAGGCUAGGAUCGGCUACUGGAUAAAGUUAGUAUCAAACACCGUAUUAAUAGUUAAAUCUGUUAUUUUAAUUCCGUUUCAUCCAUCAUUGUGGAAUUAGAGAAAAGGAUUCUAAACAUAUAUAUAUAUAUAAUUUUUUUUUUUUUUUUUUUUUUUUUUUUUGCAAGGUAUGGAAAGUUACAUAUUGGUUAAAUAUAACGUUUGGGCACGUGUGACAGCGGGUGGGUGUAAAGUGGUAAACUGAGGAUACCAAGUUUGUUCCUUAUUACACGUGUAUUAAAGAAUAAAAUUCUUUAAUAAUAAAAAGCAUCCGAUAUACAUUUAGUGUUUUAGGCAUUGUGAUUCAAUUAACUAUUACCUGUCUAUAUUUCAGCUCAGCUGAAUUUUUGGAUUGAUGUCAGAAGAAAGUUGAUAGACCUAAAUGAGAUUGAAAAAAACAAGGUUAAAAAACAGUCUUAAAAUAAGGGAGCAUUUUUGAAAAAGGAAUCAUACUAACUACCAGAACUGUGCUAUACUACUGUAUUAUAGAAGUAAUCAUGCUAAACAUGUGUAUAUCAAUAACAUACUGUGUAUGCACUAGGUGCUGAUAGAUGGAGGCUUAGUGAUGCUACAGGACUGCUCUGUGAUGGAGCAUCAGUGAUGAUGCAGGUCAGGAUAGCUGAGGGGACCAUGGUGAGAAUAAAAACAAAAGCGUGUUAUGUUUCCAGCCAACAUAAACACACAAGCAUGUGUUGCUACUCCUGUGUGACCUGGCAAAGUGACAUCACCAUAGAGUUUGCCUGUGAGCAUGUGCAGCUCCACACUUGGAGUGAUUGCUAUCUCAUCCAAGGACAGUACACACUCCCUUUCAAGGGUUCUGAUUGAUGGCAGGGGAAUCUGCAUUUCCUGUAGGGUCUUGUAACCUGUUGGACCGGCUGCAAAGCGAAUUUUCACUGCCUUUUUAAUUGUGUCUUUGCUCCACUUCAUCCCUUUUGUGGUCAGUAAACCUAAUGCCUUAAUUUGGUCUUUUGAGAACAUUUUCUUUAAAUUUGUGUCCCUAAUUUUCAUUGUUUUCUUGAGAGCUGCAUUUGCAUUCUUUAUUUUUCUUAGUGCAGCCUUUGCAUUUUUGGAUAUUUUUUCUUGUCUCUUUAAUUUUUUAAUAGACCCUGGUGACUGGCUGGUGGCUCACUGGUAUGCUGACUUGCUGCUGGCUGACUGGAUAGUGUCACCUCCACUGUCUCGCCUCCUUAGCCAUGUCCUCUCUUUCUUCACUGUCACUUUCCCUUUUCUGAGUGUUCUCAUCGCUUUUUUCCUCAGCCUUUGAAACUGAUAUAGGCAGAAUACAUGGAUCACAUCACUUCAAAAUAAGAAAUAUUACUACAAUUAGAAAGAGUUCAUACUUUUUAUAUAUAUAUAUAUAUAUAUGUCACCUGUAACACUAGCUGUGAUCAGCAGCUAUGUGCUGUAUGUCUAUGGUCUAGGGGUGUAUCGUGGUGCAGGGGCCCUCCUCUUUUUGAACACAGGACGAUGCACAAAGAUGGAGGGAAUAGCAUCUGGUCUCAGCCUACUCUUAGACUUUUUGGUCAUGACAAAUUGGUCUGCCUCAAAAUGUGCCUGCAGAGUGACUUGAGCACAAGAACCACAUGGAGCUGAUGACUCCCUGCAAUGAGACACACUCUCCACGAGUCUCCGCUCCCUGGGUUUUGCAAGCAUUUGCUUGUUCCUUAUUUCUAGUAAACCUAACAAAAUUUCCCAAUGGGUGGUCUAUGUGAAAAAGUGCAAAUACAAUGUAAUUACCUCACAAAUUUUUGUUGUUGUAAUUUUUAUUUAUAUUAAGAUUGCUCCUGCUGACUUGAGCCAGCCAUUUUUUUUCUCCUCUCCAUGCCAGUGGGGAAGCCAAACAUUCGCACUCCUUUCUCCGAGCAAUUGGAGCAUCCCCAUGCAGCACAGCAAACCAUGGCAGAGAUUAUGCAAGGACAACUUGGAGGAAAGACAGACAAAAUGCUUGGCAUGCUAUUCAGUUUAUUAGAAAUGUAUUCAUAAAUAAAUUGCUGUAAAUAGU